UUAGAUCCAAGAGUAAAUUGCAUAAAUGGUUCCUAUCCAACCCAUCGAGUAGCAAUUGAGAUAACCGUGCGGGUUUUAGAGUCAACUCGACGAGUAGGAGCUGAGUGAGAAAACCCUAAGUUUCAGGGUUUGCACCAUAUUUAAAGGACCUUAAGUCCUUUACCUCGCCUCCCUCAUCACCUUAUCACCCUGAGAGAAACCCUAAUCAAGCUAUCAUCCACUGUGAGAGAGAGUGAGGCUAAAAGUGUGUAUUUUGGUGCAUUCUUUGAAGGGGCUUGAGGAGUAAAAGGCUUGGAACAAGAAGGAGUCGUUGGAUCCGGCAUUUUCAGUGUUAGCGGCCAUUAGGAGGCGGAGUCUAGGCCUACCGUUGAGUACGGGACAUACUUGCUUACUUACGAGAACCAAAGGGUCCAAACCGAGUUGUGAGAUCGCAGGGUCCUCAAUGAGAUACCGGACUAGAGGGUCCAUACUAAGGCGUGAGACCGGAGGGUCUUCAUUGAGACACAUGACCGGAAGGUCCAAAUCGAGACAUAGCCAUGAGAGGUACUUCUGUAGAUUCCUGGAAGGAGGAGGCAUGAUUGUACACAUCCGUCGACUUAUGGAGACUUGAAGAUUUUGGGAUACUCUAAUAUUGUUUGAUAAUAACUUAUAAUUUUUGUGAUGACUGGAAUUUAUGAGUAAUAUUUUAAGAAUAAAAAUGAAAAAAAUAUGUCUUGAAA